rnacentral:rRNA from 1 species
UACGUAGGGUGCAAGCGUUGUCCGGAAUUAUUGGGCGUAAAGAGCUCGUAGGCGGUUUGUCGCGUCGGCCGUGAAAUCUCCACGCUUAACGUGGAGCGUGCGGUCGAUACGGGCAGACUUGAGUUCGGUAGGGGAGACUGGAAUUCCUGGUGUAGCGGUGAAAUGCGCAGAUAUCAGGAGGAACACCGGUGGCGAAGGCGGGUCUCUGGGCCGUAACUGACGCCGAGGAGCGAAAGCGUGGGGAGCGAACAGG